GACGGGGGGGGCAAGUGUUCUUCGGAAUGACUGGGCGUAAAGGGCACGUAGGCGGUGAAUCGGGUUGAAAGUGAAAGUCGCCAAAAAGUGGCGGAAUGCUCUCGAAACCAAUUCACUUGAGUGAGACAGAGGAGAGUGGAAUUUCGUGUGUAGGGGUGAAAUCCGUAAAUAUACGAAGGAACGCCAAAAGCGAAGGCAGCUCUCUGGGUACCUACCGACGCUGGGGUGCGAAAGCGUGGGGAGCAAACAGG
rnacentral:rRNA from 1 species